rnacentral:rRNA from 1 species
AGUGAACGCUGGCGGUAGGCCUAACACAUGCAAGUCGAACGGCAGCACUGUCCGAGCUUGCUCUUACGGGUGGCGAGUGGCGGACGGGUGAGGAAUACAUCGGAAUCUACUUUUUCGUGGGGGGUACCGUAGAGCAACUUACGCUAAUACCGCAUACGCCCUACGGGUGAAAGCAGGGGAUCUUCGGACCUUGCGCGAUUGAAUGAGCCGAUGUCGGAUUAGCUAGUUGGCGGGGUAAAGGCCCACCAAGGCGACGAUCCGUAGCUGGUCUGAGAGGAUGAUCAGCCACACUGGAACUGAGACACGGUCCAGACUCCUCCGGGUGUCAACAGUGUGGAAUCUUGACGAUUGGGCGCACUCCUUAACCAGCCAUACCUGGUUGAUGAGGAAGGCGUUCGGGUUGUAAAACACAUUUUUACGUAAAGAAAAGCAGCAGGUUAAUACCCCGCCAUUCUGACGGUACCCAAACAAUAAGCACCGGCUAACUUCGUG